rnacentral:tRNA from 2 species
CGCGGGGUGGAGCAGUUCGGUAGCUCGUUGGGCUCAUAACCCAAAGGUCAGGAGGUUCAAAUCCCCUCCCCGCAACCA